AGUCGAGCGGUAGAGAGAAGCUUGCUUCUCUUGAGAGCGGCGGACGGGUGAGUAAAGCCUAGGAAUCUGCCUGGUAGUGGGGGAUAACGUUCGGAAACGGACGCUAAUACCGCAUACGUCCUACGGGAGAAAGCAGGGGACCUUCGGGCCUUGCGCUAUCAGAUGAGCCUAGGUCGGAUUAGCUAGUUGGUGAGGUAAUGGCUCACCAAGGCGACGAUCCGUAACUGGUCUGAGAGGAUGAUCAGUCACACUGGAACUGAGACACGGUCCAGACUCCUACGGGAGGCAGCAGUGGGGAAUAUUGGACAAUGGGCGAAAGCCUGAUCCAGCCAUGCCGCGUGUGUGAAGAAGGUCUUCGGAUUGUAAAGCACUUUAAGUUGGGAGGAAGGGCAUUAACCUAAUACGUUAGUGUUUUGACGUUACCGACAGAAUAAGCACCGGCUAACUCUGUGCCAGCAGCCGCGGUAAUACAGAGGGUGCAAGCGUUAAUCGGAAUUACUGGGCGUAAAGCGCGCGUAGGUGGUUUGUUAAGUUGGAUGUGAAAUCCCCGGGCUCAACCUGGGAACUGCAUUCAAAACUGACUGACUAGAGUAUGGUAGAGGGUGGUGGAAUUUCCUGUGUAGCGGUGAAAUGCGUAGAUAUAGGAAGGAACACCAGCGGCGAAGGCGACCACCUGGACUAAUACUGACACUGAGGUGCGAAAGCGUGGGGAGCAAACAGGAUUAGAUACCCUGGUAGUCCACGCCGUACACGAUGUCAACUAGCCGUUGGGAGCCUUGAGCUCUUAGUGGCGCAGCUAACGCAUUAAGUUGACCGCCUGGGGAGUACGGCCGC
rnacentral:rRNA from 1 species